rfam:Trichomalopsis sarcophagae strain Alberta scaffold2052, whole genome shotgun sequence.
AGGAGGUGUUUUUAGUCGGUAGGCAUCACUUCACUGUGAUGAAUCCGACACUACCUUCCCUCCAUCUCGAAGGUGUCUUUUGAAGAUUUCCACCUCC